GUCCCUUUGGGGUCAUAUGAUAGAAUUGGAACGAUAUGGAGAAGAUUAGAAUGGCCCCUGCGCAAGGAUGGCACAUACAAAUCAAGAAAUGGUCCAAAUUUUU